rnacentral:rRNA from 1 species
UCCGUAGGCGGAUUGAUAAGUCAGAGGUGAAAUCCCACAGCUUAACUGUGGAACUGCCUUUGAAACUGUUAGUCUUGAGUCAUAUGGAAGUAGAUAGAAUGUGUAGUGUAGCGGUGAAAUGCAUAGAGAUUACACAGAAUACCGAUUGCGAAGGCAGUCUACUACGUAUAUACUGACGCUAAUGGACGAAAGCGUGGGGAGCGAACAGGAUUAGAUACCCUGGUAGUCC